UCUGCCACAGAGGAUGUACUCUGGGAAAUGAACUCUGCUCUGGAAGAUUGUGGGUCAGAGGGAACUGGGCUUGCCUGCACUGGAAGUCCUUGCCCUGUCUCCUCCAUUGCAAGGACUGAAUUUGUCCACAGUUUGGAAAUCUUCCAGAAAAUAAUGGCUAAGGGAACUAUCAAGAGCUACUGCAAUGCAAGAAAGGAUUGAUCAGACUAAGAUCAGAUUACUGUCUUCCUCCUGAUCAAAAAUUGGGUUCCUGCUCCUUCAAGAUUUGGGGGAAUAAGACAUGAAUGAAAACACACCAGAAGUGAGAUCACAGCUUACCAAAGGGUUUGCCACUAAUUCCUUUAAAGGAGCAGAUGAAAAUAUCAGUGUGAGCAACCUUUUAGCCUUAAAAAAGAACCCUCUGAAACUGUGUGAGCUGUAACUGGAUGCCUUUGAAGGACUUUUGAUUGAGACUUCUACAAGAUUUCAGCACUGUUUUCCUGAGCUCCUGGAUUUAAUAAGGCUUAAGCAAGACUGCUCUCAACCUGUUCAGACAUUGGCAGUUUGUGCAGCAUCUGUAGGAACAGUUGCAGCUACCUAGGGAAUUUCAGUCCAAGCAAAGAAGCACACAGGUAUUUUAAUUGCCUGGACUCAUGAGUUGGAACAAUUUACACUGCAAAACUCGGCCAAGUUAACAUU